CAAAGCUGCAGCAAAAAACAAUCAACGGGCCAAAAAGGUAGCAGAGAAAUACUCAGCUAUUGCUGAGGCUGCUCUAUCUACCGCUGCAGCUUUGGCCAAUAUUAUUUAAUCAGCUGAACUAUAAUGACUUUUUUCAUGUUAUACAAAUCAAAAAAUUCGAACUGAAAUUAUUGAAAAAACUAAUGUUAAAAAGGAAUUUGAGAAUAUAAAUGACAUCGAUGAUGAAAUAGGUGUAAUAUUUCAAAAAAAUCAAUCUGAAAUGGCUGAAAAAAAUAAUGUUAAAAAUGAAUAAGAUAAAAUAGAUUUCCUUUGAUCUGCAUACAGAACCCUUCAACACUCUUCGAAAGCUUUAAAUACUCUAAAUACGCUAAAAAAUUUCAAAUUCAAAACGAAAAGCUACAAAAAAAAAAACAAUCAAAUCAUGUUAUGAAUGCCAUCAAAAAUAAGUAUAAAG